rnacentral:tRNA from 1 species
GCCUGGUAGCUUAAAUAAAGCGUAGCUCUGAAGAAGCUAAGAUGGUAUUUAUACCCCAAAGCA